CUCGCGAUAGCUCAGUUGGUAGAGCGGAGGACUGUAGUGGACAGUUUGAGAUAUCCUUAGGUCGCUGGUUCAAAUCCGGCUCGCGAGA
rfam:Lingula anatina scaffold279, whole genome shotgun sequence.